GUGCUUCCAGGUGGUGAGCUCCCUUCUAGGGCCAGGUAAAACCUCAGUCUGGGGACAAAAGCAUUAUUUUCUUGAUUUCACUCUCCCUCCUCUCCUCGCUUGCUCCCUGGGAUCGAGGGAUCGGGGUCCGUGUCUUCGGUGACUCCUGGCGUGAGGCUGCCUGCGUCCCCUGCGAGCCGGCUGCCUGGGGUCACGCCGGCUGCUGUAGGGUCAGAGCUGGCCCCUGCUCGCUCCGACGGCGUCCGGCAUCCCAUGGGAUAAACACCAAGCAGCCGCUGCUGCCUGCUGGGGGGGGCGGGAAGCCUCAAACGCUGUUCCCAGUCUGCAGAGUGCCCGGCUGCACCCGUGAGCCCAAAGGAACAAUAGCGGGGUGGUGCCGCCGGGCGCCCUGACCCCUGCGCUUGGCACGGGGUGAUGGAAACCUCGCCAUGAGCAGGCAGAGCCCAGGCAGGGCAGGGCAAGCAGGGAGCGGAGCUGUGUGGUGCCAGGGAGCACUGCUGGCAUGGGGGGGACCCGCGUCCCCUCCCGGGACGAGGAGCAGCCUCGCCCCAGCAGGAAGCUGUCCCCAAGCUGAUGGGGCAGAGGCCAGGCCGACGUCCCAGCACGAUGUUCUCCAACAGGUUCCACAGGAGGGGGUUCCAGGAUGCUCCCUGGGAGGAGGGGCCGUGGCAGCCCAGACCCUACGGUGCCGGCCCCCAGGACAACCGGUACAAGCCGUCCUGGGAGCACCAGCCCUGGAGAGGCAGGCACAACAGGCACCCGCCCGGUCCCUGGAAGCCCUGGCCUUUCCCCGGCCCCGCCGACUUCUAUAGGAUGGAUGGGGACAGGAGAUGGAAACCCCAGGACUGUCCCCGUCCGCCACCCCCCUGGGACUACAGAGAGGAGCACCAAAGACAGGAGGAAAACUUCACCGAGGACUCGUACCCGGUGCAGCCGCUGUUUGCCCCGGAUUCCUUCAACUGGUCGGAGUUCCCCGGCAACGAGCACCCCUCUGCCGACUUCUCGUGGGAGCAAGGGGCCUUCCAGGAAAGCUGCCCGCCCUGGCGUCCUCGUGGCCCAAGCCACAGACGCUGCCGUUACAUUCGCCAUGUCCAGCAGGAGACGUUGGUGUACCACAGCCCGGCCCCUCCCCAGCUCCCCAAAGGGAAGCAGGCGUCCUCCAAAUCCUCCCAGUCCUGCCCCCAGGAGAGCCAGCCAGGAGGCAAGGGAGAUGCGCAGAGCCUUGCUGCUCCCCAGCCAGCUAGUGCCAGCAAGGACGGCGUGCAGAGCGGGGAGAAGGUGGUUGAGGGCCUGCCGGCAGCCAGCGGAAAGGUGCCGGAGCCCUCCGGGCCAGCAGCCUCCCCGCAGAAGAGCCCAGCCGCUGAUCCUCAGGCUGUGGAGCAGGAGCCAGCAGCUGGAGCAAGGCUGGUUGAGCCAGAAGACAGGCAGAAAGCUGCAGGCAGCCAGAGCCCGGGCCCCUCUGCUUUGGAAACGGAGCCAGCCCUGCCAGAGAACACCUGUACCAGGACGGAGAAGGACUUGGAGCAGGUAGAGCCGUGCAGCCAAAGCGUCCCCGAGGCCGCAGCAGGUGCUGGGUCCCCACCCCACAGCACCUCAGCCCCCCAGGAGCCUGUGGAAACGGCCGGUGCUGCAGCGAGCCCGGGUGUGGAGGUCUCACCAGGAGCUGCCGAGGAGCCCGAUGCACAGCAAAGCCAAGCCAGCUCCAACGUCUGCAGUGAGCCAGCAGCAUCACCCAGGACAGAACACCCUCCUGGGGAUGGGACAGAGCUGGCUGCAGGCUGCCAGCCCUUGCUCUGCUCCAUGCUCCCCGCACCCUCCCCAGCCAGCACAGACCUGCGCUCCGCCGCUGUCCUUGCCAGGAAAGAGGAGAUCGAGCUGUCGUACCAGCAGUUCAGCCUGACCAUCGCCGUGGUGGCCACGAUGCUGCUGGAGAAGGAGCCCUCCAUGGAGGCGGCGCUGGGGCUGGCGCUGAGGGCCAACCUGCGCCAAGUGCGCACCCACCACCUCCAGGAGCUGGAGGAUUUCAUCAACAGCUACGACUCCGGCACCCCCAGCCCCUAAACGGGGGGGAGAAGGUGUGGAGCCCCCCGUGUCGGGGUUGGUGAGGUCCCUCCGUCCCUCCUGGAGGUGGAAAGGGGGUGUGGAGGUCGGGGGCCAGCCAGAAAUUGGGGUUUGCAGGCAGGGAACGGGGUCGUGGGCAGGUUGUCCCCACCCCGAGCUGAAUUUUCAAGAAAAGAGGGGUUUACUGAAGGGUGGCGGAAGGGAGAACAGAUAGGGCAGGGGGGACAGGAGGGCUCCCCCCUUCUCAGAGCUCCUUGCUCUCUUCUUGUGUUUUUUUGCUGCUCCGUUAAACCCCCGGGCUUUGGUCUUGUUUUUUUUAAAAAAUUAAUAAUAAAAAAAAAAAAUGAGCUUUGAUCCUCGCA
rnacentral:lncRNA from 1 species